rnacentral:rRNA from 1 species
AUGAUUCACACACGAGUUGGCACGCCCAACAAAUGCAUUAGUUUGGCUCUUGCACUAGAGAAUGAUAGAUGGUGUAUACUGACAGAGGGGGAAGAAUUCUGUAGCAUACUGUGCAAGAUCUUUAUUUACACCAAGGAGGAGGUCCAGAAGAUGAAUUCGAAAUCAUCCUGUGCCCAAGAAAGGAGGAAGUUCCAUGGAUGGUGA